rnacentral:rRNA from 1 species
GACAGAGGGUGCAAACGUUGUUCGGAAUUACUGGGCGUAAAGUGUGCGCAGGCGGCGUCGCAAGUCGAGUGUGAAAGCCCCGGGCUUAACUUGGGAAUUGCGCUCGAAACUACGAUGCUGGAGUGUGGCAGAGGAAGGUGGAAUUCCACGUGUAGCGGUGAAAUGCGUAGAGAUGUGGAGGAACACCGAUGGCGAAGGCAGCCUUCUGGGCCAACACUGACGCUCAUGCACGAAAGCGUGGGGAGCAAACAGG